UGCCCAGAUCACAGGGACUAUUGCGAAUGC
rnacentral:piRNA from 1 species